rnacentral:lncRNA from 1 species
UCGACCCAAUCAACCUUGGGGUCGACUCAAUCCACACUUUGCUGCAACUCAAGGUUAGAUUCAUCCAUAUAAAUAAUGAAAUGCAUCUUUAUCUUAUUAUACGAAUAUAAUGAGAGUAAUAGACUUAUAAAUGAAGUAUCGAAUUAACUUGUAACAUACUCUUGAUUAUUGCUUGUUAAUCAUCAAAAUAACACUAUCAUCCUCAAUCUCUCCCUUUUUGAUGAUUACAAAAUAUAGAGUAUGAGCCUAUUGAUACUUAUCUUAAAAUCAGUUUUAAAAGGGCUCAAGUUGCUGAAUUUCAGCUUUUCAAAUAUGAGAGUGAAGUCUCCCCCUAUUUCAUCCAAAUGUUUCCA